rnacentral:lncRNA from 1 species
UUGGUACCAUGGACCGCGGACCGCGGCCCAUGGACCGAACCGGACCGGACGGCCCAGGCGGACGGACGGGCGGGCGGACGAGUGGACGAACGGGGCUGACCGUACAAGCCCACGAGGCCCAAUAACAACAAGUGAAGGCUAUAAAUACCUCCCCUGGCCCAACGGGGGGGGGGGUUGACAAUUCUGGAGAGUGAACACUUGGGAGAGUUGAGGUUGUGAGCUUACACCGACGAGCCCACACACCAACAGUGGUGAACCUGACGUGAAAGAAAUACAUGGCAGCCGGAGAGAAGAGGAUGACGAAGAGCAGUUACCAGGUGGGGGAGAGCUCCAAGCGACCCGAGCGGGAGCUGG